rnacentral:rRNA from 2 species
CGCGGUAAUACGUAGGUGGCAAGCGUUGUCCGGAUUUAUUGGGCGUAAAGCGAGCGCAGGCGGUUUUGUAAGUCUGCUGUGAAAGCCCUCAGCUCAACUGAGGAAGUGCAGUGGAAACUACAAAACUUGAGUACAGAAGAGGAAAGUGGAACUCCAUGUGUAGCGGUGAAAUGCGUAGAUAUAUGGAAGAACACCAGUGGCGAAGGCGGCUUUCUGGUCUGUUACUGACGCUGAGGCUCGAAAGCAUGGGUAGCGAACAGGAUUAGAUACCCUGGUAGUCCAUGCCGUAAACGAUGAAUACUAGGUGUUGGAGGGUUUCCGCCCUUCAGUGCCGCAGCUAACGCAUUAAGUAUUCCGCCUGGGGAGUACGACCGCAAGGUUGAAACUCAAAGGAAUUGACGGGGGCCCGCACAAGUGGUGGAGCAUGUGGUUUAAUUCGAUGCUACGCGAAGAACCUUACCAGCUCUUGACAUCUUCUGCCAACCCAAGAGAUUGGGCGUUCCCUUCGGGGACAGAAUGACAGGUGGUGCAUGGUUGUCGUCAGCUCGUGUCGUGAGAUGUUGGGUUAAGUCCCGCAACGAGCGCAACCCUUAUUAUUAGUUGCCAGCAUUUAGUUGGGCACUCUAGUGAGACUGCCGGUGAUAAACCGGAGGAAGGUGGGGACGACGUCAAAUCAUCAUGCCCCUUAUGAGCUGGGCUACACACGUGCUACAAUGGAUGGUACAACGAGUCGCGAAACCGCGAGGUCAAGCUAAUCUCUUAAAGCCAUUCUCAGUUCGGAU